AGCGAACGCUGGCGGCAGGCCUAAUACAUGCAAGUCGAACGGCUCUUCGGAGCAGUGGCGGACGGGUGAGUAACGCGUGGGAACGUGCCCUUUGGUUCGGAACAACACAGGGAAACUUGUGCUAAUACCGAAUGUGCCCUUCGGGGGAAAGAUUUAUCGCCAUUGGAGCUGCGCCCGUUGGAUUAGCUAGUUUGUGGGGUAAUGGCCCACCAAGGCUACGAUCCAUCGCUGGCCUGAGAGGAAGAACAGCCACCCUGGGACGGAGACACGGCCCAGACUCCUGCGGGAGGCAGCAGUGGGGAGUCUUGCGCAAUGGGCGAAAGCCUGACGCAGCCAUGCGGCGUGAAUGAUGAAGGUCUUAGGAUUGUAAAAUUCUUUUACCGGGGAAGAUAAUGACGGUACCCGGAGAAGAAGCCCAGGCUAACUUCGUGCCAGCAGCCGCCGCCG
rnacentral:rRNA from 1 species